rnacentral:rRNA from 1 species
GACGAACGCUGGCGGCGUGCUUAACACAUGCAAGUCGAACGAUGAAGCGGUGCUUGCACCGUGGAUUAGUGGCGAACGGGUGAGUAACACGUGAGUAACCUGCCCUGGACUCUGGGAUAACCCCGAGACAUCGGAGCUAAUACCGGAUAUGACUUCGCACCGCUUGGCGUGGGGUGGCAAGUCGUUUCGGUCUGGGAUUGACUCGCGGCCUAUCAGCUUGUUGGUGAGGUAAUGGCUCACCAAGGCGUCGACGGGUAGCCGGGCUGAGAGGGUGACCGGCCACACUGGGACUGAGACACGGCCCAGACUCCUACGGGAGGCAGCAGUGGGGAAUAUUGCACAAUGGGCGCAAGCCUGAUGCAGCAACGCCGCGUGAGGGAUGACGGCCUUCGGGUUGUAAACCUCUUUUAGUAAGGAAGAAGGGGAGCUUGCUCCUUGACGGUACUUGCAGAAAAAGGACCGGCUAACUACGUGCCAGCAGCCGCGGUAACAC